rnacentral:pre_miRNA from 15 species
CCGAACCUCCUGUCCGCACCUCAGUGGAUGUAUGCCAUGAUGAUAAGAUAUCAGAAAUCCUAUCACCGGGUGUACAUCAGCUAAGGUGCGGGUACAGGU